GAUGAUGUUGGAGAAUGGAGAUGGAGAAGACAGACAGGGCCUGGUUUCCAUUAAUGCCGCAGCCAGUCUUACUCAUUUGGUAGCCGGAGGGACUUGAAUGCCCACCCACACAAGAUCGAUCGAGCUGCAUAAGUUGGAGCCCCUCCUCCAUUCUCCAGCCGCCCCAGCCCCCAUCCGUCCUCCCUCUCUCCCUUCUCCUCUUCUUCCAACUCCAUCUCUCUUCUCUUCUCUUCUCUCCAGCUACUCUUCGCUGUUCAUCUUAUCUGCAUGGCCAUGGCGAAUUGGCAUGUGCCUGCUCCUACUUUCCAUCACCAAUCGAUCUGCAGGGGCCUGCAAAAGGAAAGGAGGUGAUGAAAUAGUAGCUAUGAUGUUGGCUCGGCUCACUCAGAUGACCACGCGGGAUGCCAUGCCCGCGAUAUGGUGUUUCUGAUUGAGCCGUGGCAAUAUCUUAGUACUCUUUCAUACGAGAUUCGGUCGCACUCCCUACGCUGUCUUGUUCACUUGGGAUCUUGUAUGAUGUUAAGGUGAUGCAUGAGAGCGAGGUUGUCGACCACUGGAGUAGAAACGGGUAGUAGUAGUGCAGCCUGUAAAAGACAGUAUAGUAGCUACGGCGAAGCCAAGCCUCCAGGGCACCAUACACUGCUUGGCCUGAAAAUUCUUCUUGGAUCGAUCUUGAAUUUCUGUUGGAGGCCUGGAACAUAUGAAUCCAUGCAUAUGCAACAGUCAGUUUCUCAUACACUUUUUUUUUGAGGGGUGUUCCUCAUACACUUGAAUGUAUGCGCCUUUACUUAUUGAUCAUGUCUUAUGUAUAUAUCUCCAUAGUAUAUAUAGGAUCGGAAAAGUUCACUCGUGUAAGCCCGGCCUCCAUUUUAUGUAAGGGCAUGCACCGGUGCCAGGACAAUUUAAUGACUUGAUUUGAUUAAUCUGAUACUCGGCUGCUAUCUAACCUGCAAAUGAGUUACACUACAUAUAUAAGCUAAUUAGUAAGAAAAAAAUCUGAAGUAUGGCUCUUACAAAUAUAUAUAUGCACAUCCCAACUCCCAGUUUUCAAAACUACACUCGUCUGAAUUCAACAAAUUUUAACGAUUAUGUAUGUAACCACUCUAACGUACCUUUUCUUCUAAUACAAGUACACAAAAAAAUAAACAAAUUCAAGUGGUCACGAGACAUACGCAUGCUGCUGGUCUCGGAGUGUACUGUACCGGUAUCUCUGUGUAUUAAUGAUCCAGCGCGAGCAGCUUCUCUCCUCCCCCUCUGCCUCUUUCUCAAUCAUGUCUUCGUGCUGUAGGCUAGCUCUCUGAUCCAUUUUGAAAUUAAAGGUAUGCAUGCAUCGCAGCACACAGGAAGCUGGAGAGACCUGCCACUACAGUGGAUCACCACGAGGUCCGGCUUGCUCUAACGUUCUUAUGCUCAGAACAUGGAUACGGAUGACACAGUGUUGUCUUUGCUGUUUGCAUUGCUACCCCCAGAAAUUGCAGGUCUCCUAUGUGUGAUUUGUUUUACUUUCAUUUGAACCUAUACAAGUACAAAUCUCCUGAUUUUUACUUUUUUUGUAUUAUAUGAAACUUUGUUUGAUACACGGAAGAAGAAUGUAAUUAGAUUGAUAGAAUUUUUUUUUAAGAUUGCUAUGCAUGUGAGACUAAUUGGUCAAUUUGUUAUCUCGUUUUUUUUUUGCCAUAGGUUAUUGCUGCAAUUACUGUUAGCGGGUUGAAUAACUUGUGUAGUGGAACAACUGUAUAGCAUUAGCAUAUAAGGGUGUGUUUUUAUUUUAUC